rnacentral:rRNA from 1 species
AGGUAGUGACAAUAAAUCACAAUGCGGGACUAUCAGUCUUGCAAUUGGAUUGAGAACAAUGUACAACUCUUAUCGAUAAGCCAUUGGAGGGCAAGUCUGGUGCCAGCAGCCGCGGUAAUUCCAGCUCCAAUAGCGUAUAUUAACGUUGUUGCAGUUAAAAAGCUCGUAGUUGAAGUGUGGGUGAUCGCUGUUGUGAGACUUCGGUCUCUCGACAGUAAGUCACCCCCUUCCAGUAUCCAGUAGUGGGUAUUCAGUUACUUACUAUUGUGUGUUGGUCCUUUACUGUGAGAAAAUUAGAGUGUUCAAAGCAGGCGUUUGCUUGAAUAGAUUAGCAUGGAAUAAUAAUUGAAGGCUUUCGUGUUCGAUUUGAUUGGUUUGUUCAUGGAAGCAAGGUUAAAAGGAACAGUUGGGGGUAUUCAUAUUCACUAGUUAGAGGUGAAAUUCUCGGAUUUAUGGAAGAUGAA